AGAGUUUGAUCCUGGCUCAGGAUGAACGCUGGCGGCGUGCCUAACACAUGCAAGUCGAACGGACUUACAUUGAAGCCUAGCGAUAUGUAAGUUAGUGGCGGACGGGUGAGUAACGCGUGGGUAACCUGCCUUGUACUGGGGGACAACAGUUGGAAACGACUGCUAAUACCGCAUAAGCGCACAGCUUCGCAUGAAGCAGUGUGAAAAACUCCGGUGGUACAAGAUGGACCCGCGUCUGAUUAGCUGGUUGGUGAGGUAACGGCCCACCAAGGCGACGAUCAGUAGCCGGCCUGAGAGGGUGAACGGCCACAUUGGGACUGAGACACGGCCCAAACUCCUACGGGAGGCAGCAGUGGGGAAUAUUGCACAAUGGGGGAAACCCUGAUGCAGCGACGCCGCGUGGAGGAAGAAGGUCUUCGGAUUGUAAACUCCUGUUGUUGAGGAAGAUAAUGACGGUACUCAACAAGGAAGUGACGGCUAACUACGUGCCAGCAGCCGCGGUAAAACGUAGGUCACAAGCGUUGUCCGGAAUUACUGGGUGUAAAGGGAGCGCAGGCGGGAAGACAAGUUGGAAGUGAAAUCCAUGGGCUCAACCCAUGAACUGCUUUCAAAACUGUUUUUCUUGAGUAGUGCAGAGGUAGGCGGAAUUCCCGGUGUAGCGGUGGAAUGCGUAGAUAUCGGGAGGAACACCAGUGGCGAAGGCGGCCUACUGGGCACCAACUGACGCUGAGGCUCGAAAGUGUGGGUAGCAAACAGGAUUAGAUACCCUGGUAGUCCACACUGUAAACGAUGAUUACUAGGUGUUGGAGGAUUGACCCCUUCAGUGCCGCAGUUAACACAAUAAGUAAUCCACCUGGGGAGUACGACCGCAAGGUUGAAACUCAAAGGAAUUGACGGGGGCCCGCAC
rnacentral:rRNA from 1 species